CGGCGUUGUCAUUGCUGAACUCGUUUAGUAUUUCGCAGUAAGGAAGCUUAGCCUGGCACACAGACACAUUCCUACCCACACAUCUUUCCAUGUACUUUUUUUUUGCCUUCUGUGAAUUUCUUCAGCUUGACUUUCUUCUUUGUUUUGUCAAAUUUCAUCUCAAGCAUGGCUAUUCCGGACUCUUCAUCCCACUAACUCCCUACCACUCUCUCUUCCCGGUGUUAGGCUGCUUCGGCUGCAUCUUUUUCCAUGUCUUCACUAAUCCAGGAGAGUACUUUGAAUUUUCUAAAGAGGAAAAUGUGAAGGUGAAGAUACUCUGAAACAAUGUCCAGGCUGUGUGGAAAGAACAACGUUGGCCUUGAAGCAUGGUGGAGUGAGGAGUGAGAGCCUGACAGUAAACAGCUCCAAUGACGAAGUGGAACAAUCCCCCACUCAAUCUGAAGGCAAAAUGGCCACUUUUUAAACACAGGACUAAGCUAUCAGCUAGCUUUUACUCUUCAGCUGGCCUUCUCGGACAGACAACAGUUCCACUGGCCCUCCUUGUCUUACUGCUCGCUGGCCUCAGUACAGCUGGACCACCGCAGCUAGCUCGCCCACCUCUCCUGUCGGGACAGCCUUUUAUCAUUUUCUGGGGCAUCCCUGAUUCCUCCUGCUCCAUGAGGCCUGAGCCUGGAUCUUUUGGGAUGGAGCGCGAGGGCCGUGUGGCGGUCUUCUACGAGGACACGCUGGGAAGCUACCCGUAUUUUAUAGACAAAGACACAAGGGUCAAUGGAGGUUUACCGCAGCACACACGGCUGGACAGCCAUCUUCAGAAAAUUCAGAUGGAUUUAGAUGCAGCCUUGCCUAUGCCCAGGUACCUUGGGCUGGGGGUGGUGCACUGGGCUGAGUGGCUCCCGCAGUGGUUGAGAAAUCGAGAGAAGAAGGCCAUGUAUCAGGAGGCAUCGAGGACCUUGCUGAAGGCGUUCUUCCCUAACUGGACUCCGGAGGAGGUGGAGAAGUGGUCACGGGUGGACUUCGAGGCAGCAGCCCAGUCAGUAAUGAUGGAAACCCUGAGGGAGAUCAAACGGCUGCGGCCCAAAGCAUUAUGGGGUGUCUCCCCUUACCCGAGCUGCUACAACGGUGAUUCUGCCCAAACGGCGUCAGCCAAUUACAGUGGCCAGUGCCCCCCUGCUGAAAAGCUCCUCAAUGACGAGCUUCUGUGGCUGUGGAAGCGCUGCUCUGCCAUUUACCCUCUUCUCACGCUGGAGAAGCUACAGGGUGGAACAUCCGGAGGGAGGCUUUAUUUGUCCAGUCAAAUCCAGGAAGCGCUGCGGGUUUCCUCUCUGGCCGGAGUGUCGUUCGAUCUUCCCGUGUUUCCGCUGAUCAGCAGUGUGUACGCCUCGACCAACACUUUCCUGUCUCAGCACGUUGCUGUCCUCCUCCAGGCAGACCUGGUCAGCAGCAUUGGCGAAAGCGCUGCCAUGGGAACAGCUGGAGUGGUCAUCUGGCAGAGAAGUGAGAACAAGACAGAGAGAGAAUGUCAGGACCUGGCAGAGUUCAUCCGCAAGGUCUUGGGACCUUACUCCAUUAACGUAACCACGGCAACCAGGCUCUGCUCAGCCUCUCUCUGUGAGGGAAAAGGCAGAUGUGUCCGUCGGAAUCCGGACAGUUCCGCCUUCCUCCACCUUCCGCCGCCCCCUGACGUGCUGGAGAAGGUGACAGAAAAGGAGGCGGAGGCGGCCAAAGCCACAGACGAGCCCGAUCCAGACGCUAAGGCAGCUGAACCGGACCCAGCCGAGAUGUGGAAGAAAGACUUCCAGUGUCAGUGGUACAAGACUACAGAUCGGGACGUCUCAGAUCAGCAGUCCCCCAAAGAUGGAGCCUCUGUCGAUGGGACGCUGGAGCAAAUUUCCGGAGAUCUCGGAGGGACUUCGGAAACCUUUUCAACAGAUUCCAUAACAAAAGGUGCCUCCACGACGAAGCCAAGUGAAAACACUUCUUCACCUUUGGUUUCAAACUGUUGCACCGUUUUGUGGUUGCUGGUGGCUGCUUGUCUGUGUGUGAACUGAAGCAACCUUCAGCCGGAGGACUCAAUUGAAGUGCCUUUGAGCAAGACUGCGGACAUGUCACACAAGUCUGCAUUCAACUUUCUGGGGACGUGCCAAUGCACAGCGGUACUUUAACACUUGUCACUUUUUCAGUUGGUUUAUGAGCAGCUUUAACAGGAAUUAAAGGACGUCAUCCCACUGCCAAUGAAAAAGAUUCCAAACCCAAGCAAACACAUAAAAGCAGUUUCUACUUUUGUUGUUGUUUUUAAUUCAUCUUUUCUGCAGUGUUUGGAAAUCAAGGUUAAAUCAUUCAAUCUCAUAGCAACCUACAUGGAUGCAUCUUUUAUGCCUCCAUUGAUCCCCCUUUCAGGCUGGACCAUGCAGGCUCCAAUGGAUGAAACAGAUCCGGUCAUCGUCACCUAGCACCCUCCCCGAGCAGGAGAAGAGGGCGAGAAGAGAGGACAAUCGCUUCAAUACAACUUAUUAACCUAAAAUCUACAAAACUGAAUAUUAAAUGAAUACAUUGACAAGCGAAUAGUUAGUCUUAAAACAAUGUGAAAGUGCAAAAGCUUUAGUUAAAAAAAAAAAAGCCUACCUCAAUCCAAACAUAUAGCUUAUGUUACUCUGUUCAUAAUACGACGCCCCCCCCCCCCAACAAAAAACAACAACAACAACAACAAAACAAUACUACACAAAGCUCUAGUCACUCUCAGUGUUAAUUGAUCUCGGGUGCCCCCUAGUGGUCGCGGGGCCCUCAGCAGGUGCUGAGCUCGUUUAUGCCUUGGGCCAGCUCUGCACUAAACUUACCCAAGACUAGCAGCAGUAAUACAAUUACUCAGGUUUGUGACAAACCAAACCAACCCAAAGCCAGCAGAGCAGCCUUUGAACACACGAGUCACUGUUGUGAUGAACACUUUUGCUAUUUUCUUCUUAAAUAACUUUCUUUUUAUUUAAGGUCAGAGAGCGUACGUUCCCUCUUUUCAUAAAAUGCUUUCCACUUAUUUUAGUUGUGUUUCACUUGUGGGUUUA